UUUCCGUAGGUGAACCUGCGGAAGGAUCAUUAUUGUAUAAGGGACGUACGAGGGCUGUCGUUUACCCGAAUGUUUAUGCAGGCACGAAUGUCCGCACACCUAUCCAACACGCCCCGACGUGCACCGCUGCGUGCGUCCCCCUUUGGCGUGUGCGGGGGGGGGCUUACGUUUUCACACAAUCUUAGGAUGCUGUGGAGUGUGUAUUUAUUUUUUUUGCAAUAACCCCAUCAAAACACCUUUCAACAACGGCUCCCUUGGUUGUCGCACCGAUGAAGAAGG
rnacentral:misc_RNA from 1 species